CGUUUGUUACAAAUUAGUUGCUGGCUCCACCGCAAUUGUUUGCUUUUUGAAUUAAUUUUGUCACACCCUAGUUUGGCUCCACACACCCAUUAGUGAGUGUCGGCCCUGUCAGGCUCUCACGCGCGUUUGACAGUUGUCUCACCCACAGUAGACUCGCCUCAUCCAAUCAUUUCAUUCUGAAAUUUAUUGACAGCGGUACAGGUGGGUUGCCAAAAUCAACACCUGAUUCCAAAAAAAAAACAUAAAUAGAGGUUACCACCAUGAGCUAGAGAGAGAAAGCAAACGCAAGGUGGGAGUAAAUACUGUCAAACUUCGUGCUUCACACGAAGUUUGAUCUCCCGUUUACUACCCGCUGUUAAAACCUCAGCCCAUUACCAAAAAAUUUCUUUUCGGUCGCAAACCCUCGUAGGGAGUAGUAGUGCGCGACGUGUGUCUUAAAAAUUUAAUUAAAAGGUUAGAAAAAAACCUUAGUGAAAGUGUUUUUUUAUUCUAAUUGUGCCAGUUUGUUAAGUCUCCUUAUUAGGUAUCGCAAGAAAAAUACCUAAGGUGCUGGGUGAUCCCGUGAAAAAACUGCAGAAAAAAGGUCCGAUAGUGGGCCUUUUUUCUUUUGUUCCUUUGGAACAGGUUUGGAACCCUUCCGCAGGAGAUCGUGGCGGUCACCAGGGUGGCCCCCAGCAGUGCACUACCAUCAGCCAAAUUUCCCUCGUGCUAGAGGUUCGACCGGAAAGACCAUCAGCCCAUCAGCCCGGAAGCCGUGAUUCCGUUCCGCGACUGUGAGCAGUCAAUUCAAGCCAUCAUCAAGUGCGCCAGUGUCCUGAGUGUCGUGUGUGUGCAGCCAUUUUGGAUUCGGGUAUCGGCCAGGUCGGGAAGAUAUUCCGUAGCGACGUAUCACGUGGAAUUGGUGGAGAACUUUCGAUCGGCGAGGCCGACCAGCCGCGUAACCGUCAUCUCAAGCUACCCCGGAUUGCAAGCCAUCGAAUCGAACCGAGCGACCGCAACAUCACUUUUCGUCCGGCAAGCCGCCGACCCGUUUCGACUACCCACAUCGCCCAGUUCGCGGCCACCACGUCGUCAAACCCGCUUCAGGCACCUUUCGUCCGGCAAGCCGCCGAUCAGUUUCGAGCAACAACACCGCCUCGUUUGCUGCCCCCACGCCAUCAAACCCGUUUCAAGCACCUUCGUCCGGCAAGCCGCCGACCAGUAUCGGGUACCAACAUCGCCAUUUCGCAGCCACCACGCCACCAAGCCCGCUUCGAACACCUUCGCUGGCUGCUAGCGGCCCCCUUUCAUGCAGAGCAGAGACCAUCGACCAACACUCAGGGCAGCCAUAGGCCCUUGCACGCAAGUACCCUAAAAAUGUGUGACGUUUGUACCUAAAUUACCGCCCUAGGGCAAAUAAACCAAUAUGAUGUUAAGCUAAA